rnacentral:rRNA from 1 species
AACGAACGCUGGCGGCAGGCCUAACACAUGCAAGUCGAACGCUGUAGCAGUACAGAGUGGCAGACGGGUGAGUAACACGUGGGAAUCUUCCUAUCGGUACGGAAUAGCUCAGGGAAACUUGGGGUAAUACCGCAUACGCCCUUCGGGGGAAAGAUUUAUCGCCGAUAGAUGAGCCCGCGUCUGAUUAGCUAGUUGGCGAGGUAAUGGCUCACCAAGGCGACGAUCAGUAGCUGGUCUGAGAGGAUGACCAGCCACACUGGGACUGAGACACGGCCCAGACUCCUACGGGAGGCAGCAGUGGGGAAUAUUGGACAAUGGGGGCAACCCUGAUCCAGCCAUGCCGCGUGAGUGACGAAGGUCUUCGGAUUGUAAAGCUCUUUUGGCGGGGACGAUAAUGACGGUACCCGCAGAAUAAGCCCCGGCUAACUUCGUGCCAGCAGCCGCCGUAA